GGGGGGCUUCCGAUUGGCCCGCGCGCGGGCUCCGAGCAUGCGCAGACUGCUGACAGGGAGGCGGUGGGCCUAGGCCGGGAGAAGGAGGAGCCAGCGCGGCGUCGCCGUGGAGACCGGAGGAGGCUGGGCGCUGGCGGCGCUGGGGAAAUGGGGCCUCCGGACCCGCAGGAGCGGCGGCGGGCGGGCGAGGAGGAGGGGCGGGCCAGGGGUGUCCGCCAAUCAGGGUAGCGUGGUGCGUCUCCUGGACCCCGGGUCGCGUUGCACCGCCUUCCGAACCCAACGAGAACUGUUAGGGUCCCAGGUUGGGGCGGGAUCCGGACGAGAGCGGGCCGCCGGGUCUGAGGGGAGCGCGGCCGGGGUCCCCUGCUCUGCCUGUGUGAAGGUGGCACACGGUAUCUGGCCUCAGUUUCCCCAUCUCAGAAACGGGAUGAAGGAGGAGAGGGAAGAAACCGGAGAGAGGGUUGAUGCUCCGUAUCCAGACGGUUCCAGCCCAGUGGCGGCCCACACACGCCCCGUGGACCCAGGGUGGUCCUCGCCCCGUCCUCGGCGGCUUCCUCCUCCGCAGGCGGGGUGAGAAUGAGGCCGCCCCCGCCGCGACGGUGUGAAGACGAAGCGUGACCGUGGCCGGCGCAGAAGCCAUUAAAAGGGCGAUAACUCCCCCGGGUCUGGGUUUCACAAGCGGGGGCUCUGCAUUUUCAUUCUGCACUGGACCCUACAAAUGAAGUAGCUGUUCACGUACACAUCACUUUGAUCAUUUGUGCAGUGUCCACACACCACCGCUUUUUCUCCAGCAUUGAAGUGUACCAUAAAUAAUUAGGAAUGGAACGAAGAACUGACUCCCUGGAACGUCCUGCCUACGCUUCUCCGCCUGCCUCGUGCUUCAGCCCGUGGGACGGCAGAGCAGAUCAAAGCAUCGGUCCAUUUUACGGUCGGGACCAGUGAGGCUCAGCGAGCGAGAAUCCCAGCCAAACCUGCAAAUAACGUUCCUGCAUAAACAUGAAAUACAGGUCGCUGUGUUGAGCGGCGUUUUCCCAGCGCCACUUCUUCUGGGAUCCUGAGGACCUGGUGGGCCGUCGGGGGUCCUUCCAGAGGCCCGCAGAGGGCACGGGCUCCCUCCGCCACGUGGUGCGGGCUCGGGAGGGAGG
rnacentral:lncRNA from 1 species